GCCUGGCUGGCUCAGUGGGUAAAGCGUGAGACUCUUGAUCUCAGGGUCAUGAGUUCAAGCCCCACGUUGGGCA
rfam:Ailuropoda melanoleuca scaffold1429_16, whole genome shotgun sequence.